rnacentral:lncRNA from 1 species
GAGUGUAACUACUUGACACCAAAUAGGCAAUCUCUUCAGGAAAUGGUGCUGUACUGGAGGCUCAGUGUUGACAUGGGUUGUUGAAAGAAUGGAUGUUUGUGGUGGCAGAAGCUGGGUCAUCCUUGGUGAGUAUAACCCAUGCUGUUCGUUACAUGCAUGGUAUCUAUCCCUGACACCAUGAUUAUGAGUCCAUUGUGCUUGUAUAGAGGGAGAACCAAUGAAUGACAGAAGGUGGAGGACAUCAACUGGCUGAGACAUUCUGUCCACUGGGCUCUUCGGUGCCUCUUGCUGGUGGAUGACUUCUGGUAGAUGUUAAGAUGCAAUACAAAGAUCUUCACGCAUCUUCUACCUCCUCUACAGUUCUUCAAGAAGCCAGUGGUCCUGCAGGGAGAGUAUGAUCAUCCAUCCCCGUAGAGACGUCCCUGAAGAAGGCCCAGCACUAGCAGGAAGCAGAAUUGGGGUUAAUCUUUGCCAUGAAAAGGCAACCAUUUGCAUGUUCUCUCAGGGAGAAUGCAACAUUUGCAAAGUCAGAUCUGAUUAUGACACACAGACUUUCUUGGGGAAACAGUGAUUAUGCAUCGUGAUGAAAGGAUAAACAGCCCAGCAUCUGGAUUCUCCAAUUGUUCUUCACAGCUGGGCACGUAAGUCCCCCUUUGAUACCGAGCUUAUUGUCUGUGUGUAUACACUUUCCAUGUUCUCCCCCA